rnacentral:rRNA from 1 species
GACGAACGCUGGCGGCGUGCUUAACACAUGCAAGUCGAACGGAAAGGCCCUGCUUUUGUGGGGUGCUCGAGUGGCGAACGGGUGAGUAACACGUGAGUAACCUGCCCUUGACUUUGGGAUAACUUCAGGAAACUGGGGCUAAUACCGGAUAGGAGCUCCUGCUGCAUGGUGGGGGUUGGAAAGUUUCGGCGUUUGUGGAUGGACUCGCGGCUUAUCAGCUUGUUGGUGGGGUAGUGGCUUACCAAGGCUUUGACGGGUAGCCGGCCUGAGAGGGUGACCGGCAACAUUGGGACUGAGAUAGGGCGCAGACUCGUACGGGAGGCAGAAGGGGGGAAGAUUGCACAAUGGGCGGAAGCCUGAUGCAGCAACGCCGAGUGAGGGAUGACGGCCUUCGGGUUGUAAACCGCUUUCGCCUGUGACGAAGAGUGAGUGACGGUAAUGGGUAAAGAAGCAACGGCUAACUACGUG